GCAAGCUUGACCAAGUGUCAAAGGCGCUGGUUUCGGGAUCCAGUAUCUUCUGAUGCGUCAGUUCGAAUCUGACAACUCACA